rnacentral:rRNA from 1 species
AACGAACGCUGGCGGCAUGCCUAACACAUGCAAGUCGAACGAAGGCUUCGGCCUUAGUGGCGCACGGGUGCGUAACGCGUGGGAAUCUGCCCUUUGGUUCGGAAUAACAGCUGGAAACGGCUGCUAAUACCGGAUGAUGACGAAAGUCCAAAGAUUUAUCGCCAGAGGAUGAGCCCGCGUUGGAUUAGGUAGUUGGUGGGGUAAAGGCCUACCAAGCCGACGAUCCAUAGCUGGUCUGAGAGGAUGAUCAGCCACACUGGGACUGAGACACGGCCCAGACUCCUACGGGAGGCAGCAGUGGGGAAUAUUGGACAAUGGGCGCAAGCCUGAUCCAGCAAUGCCGCGUGAGCGAUGAAGGCCCUAGGGUUGUAAAGCUCUUUUACCCGGGAAGGUAAUGACUGUACCGGGAGAAUAAGCCCCGGCUAACUCCGUG